rfam:Triticum aestivum genome assembly, contig: Triticum_aestivum_CS42_TGACv1_scaffold_621378_7DS
GAUGUACUCCCUCCGUUCGGAAUUACUUGUCGCGGAAAUGAAUGUAUCUAGAACUACUUGUCGCGAAAAUGGAUGUAUCUAGACGUAUUUUAGUUCUAGAUACAUCCAUUUCCAAGACAAGUAAUUCCGAACGGAGGGAGUACCCC